rnacentral:rRNA from 1 species
GACAGAGGUGCCAAGCGUUAGGCGGAAUCACUGGGCUUAAAGCGUGUGUAGGCGGAAUGGUAAGUACCUUGUGAAAUCCCACGGCUCAACCGUGGAACUGCUGGGUAUACUGCUUUUCUUGAGCCACUUAGGGCUGUCGGAACAAACGGUGGAGCGGUGAAAUGCGUAGAGAUCGUAAGGAAGGCCAGUGGCGAAGGCGAGUUCCUGGACAGUUACUGACGCUGAGGCACGAAGGCCAGGGGAGCAAACGGG